CGUUGGAGAGGGAAGCGCGGGAGGAAAUCCCCCGGGCUCCUGGCCCCUCAUUCCUCCUCCACCCCAGGUCCGACCAAUUCGCUUCUCCGGCGUCGAGCCCCUAGCUCAAUAGCGGAGACUGCACUGAGAAGAGCUAAGUCCUUACCGGAUCCUAACGGAUGAGGCGAUUUUAACCCCUGGAGACAAGAGAAGAGCGGAACGCUGGAUCGCCCCGACUUGGCGGCUCCGCCCGAGGCCCCCAACUUCGAGGGCGCUGACCCCUGUGCCCGGACUAACCCCCGCGGGCUCGCCGGCCGCCAGCAGGAGCCUGUCGCCAACAUGACACCCUCCUCUCCGCGCCCGCCACGGGUUUUUUCAGCUCAGUUGCCGGCGGCUUCGGCUGUGAGUUGUACCGGGUGCGGGGGAGGGGGGGGGGUAAAAUUAAAAGAACCUCAGUAAUCAAGGUUUCCAUUUCUAAAUGACCUUAAAAAGAGAGAGCACACUCGCUAAGCGUGAGGGAUUUUCAUAUAAAAGAAUAAAUCAAGAAAAGAAAACGUUGGAUGAGGAUAUAACUUCCAAAAUCUAAGACAAAAACCUAUAUAUGUGGAAAACCGAUGUCACAUUCCGUAUUCAUUAAGAAUACCCCGAAGAAAAGAGGAAGCAGAGAACACACCAAGGGUGAAAACAUUUUUCAAACAAUGAGUGAACACAUUCAUUUGUUCUCGUCACUUGGAAAUUGGUUUCUCAAAGAGGGGGUAUGUGUCACGAUUAUAGUCCGUGCAAAAAUCAACCAGUCUCCUAGGUCUGUGGAUGGACUCCAUCAGCCAGGUCAAAUGAAGACUCUGAAAAAGAUUUGUUAAAGAAGGAAAUUUGAAGGUGUCUGUAUUGCCUAAAGCAAAAAUAAAUUACGAAACUCUUCAAAAGAUACUUAGGGAAAACCCGUGGUUUAAGUACACUUGUCUAGGAAAACAAAACCAAACCGGAAAACAGCAUACUUUUUUUUCUCUUAAUAUGGCAUUAAGGGGAAAGAACAAGAAACACGAACACCUAUUAGAUACUGUUAGGAACUUGAAUAAGAGUUUUAGAAGUAAAUGAAGCAAGAAAAAGUUUCCUUGAGUGAAUGACUAGAGAAUCUUAAUCGUCUGAAGGUUUUGGUUGUGCAAAUGGCAGUUUUUGAACAUGAAUGCUAGUACUGCACUUCACAUGCUUCCAGUCGUUAGUUGUUGAAUCAUCCCAUAAGCCAUAGUUUAUAGUUGUCUUACAGGAUGGGAACAUUCAAUGGGCUUAAAGUUCUAUCCUGGUCAAGUGGGCUCCUGGAGAGAGAGGUAGUCAGAAAUACACAAAAUAAUUAAGAGUUCAGGCAAAGCCCACCACCAAGCUGUAUGCAGCUAGCUGCUCUCUGUGUGAGAACUAUUCUACAGAGAAAAGGAAACACAUUUUACACAUUUAUUGACUUUUUCUAAUCUAAAAGCAAUGCUUUAAUCAUAUAUUUUUUUCCAUAUAAACCAUCCCACCUACCAACAAAGAGGUGAAAUUUACCUCCUGAAAUGGAAGUAAUUGUUUUUGGAAAUUUGCCAUUCAGGCUUUAUAUAUCUUUAUCCAAUAAAUGUUGAUAAUCACUGUGACUGUCUCAGGAAGCUUCUUGGCCAUAAUCUCUACAAUAGAAACACACACACACACACACACACCACAAAACUCUAACCCAUUCACUCCAUCAUUUUUCUUCAUGGUCACUUCUCUCUCACUAUCAUCUAAGUAUUUCCUCCCACUAAAAUGUAAAUAUCAUGAGGGUAGGGACUUUGUUCAUUUUGCUUACUUUGUUACAUGAAACACACAGAACAUAAAGUGUCUUACACAGAACUAGAAUCCAAAUAAAUACUUGUGGAUUGAGAAUGUUCAUCAUAUUCCCACUAACUAGGAUUACCAAACAUGCCAAGUGCUGAGGACAAAGCCACCAGCAAUAUAACAUAGGCCCUUACCUCAUUGAGUUUGUAGCCCAUCAUGCUUGUAAAUAUUUAUUAAAAUUGAGCGAGUUUUGGCCUCAUGUUUGUGUUUUCAUAACAG
rnacentral:lncRNA from 1 species